AUUGAACGCUGGCGGCAGGCCUAACACAUGCAAGUCGAACGAGUGGCGGACGGGUGAGUAAUGUCUGGGAAACUGCCUGAUGGAGGGGGAUAACUACUGGAAACGGUAGCUAAUACCGCAUACCAUCAGAUGUGCCCAGGUGGGAUUGGCUUGUUGGUGGGGUAACGGCUCACCAAGGCGCCGAUCCCUAGCUGGUCUGAGAGGAUGACCGGCCACACUGGGAGUGAGACCCGGUCCAGCUUCCUACGGGCGGCAGCAGUGGGAAAGAUGACGCAAUGGGCGCGGGCCGGAUGGAGCGAUGCCGCGUGUGUGAAGAAGGCCUUCGGGUUGUAAAGUACGUUCAGAGGGGAGGCGUUGCGCGCAGAGGAAACUCCGGCUAGCUCCGUGCCAGCAGCCGCGGUAAUAC
rnacentral:rRNA from 1 species